rnacentral:rRNA from 1 species
GAUGAACGCUGGCGGCGUGCCUAAUACAUGCAAGUCGAGCGAACGGACGAGAAGCUUGCUUCUCUGAUGUUAGCGGCGGACGGGUGAGUAACACGUGGAUAACCUACCUAUAAGACUGGGAUAACUUCGGGAAACCGUAGCUAAUACCGGAUAAUAUUUUGAACCGCAUGGUUCAAAAGUGAAAGACGGUCUUGCUGUCACUUAUAGAUGGAUCCGCGCUGCAUUAGCUAGUUGGUAAGGUAACGGCUUACCAAGGCAACGAUGCAUAGCCGACCUGAGAGGGUGAUAGGCCACCCUGGAACUGAGCCACGGUCCAGACUCCUACGGGAGGCCGCAGUAGGGAAUCUUCCGCAAUGGGCGAAAGCCUGACGGAGCAACGCCGCGUGAGUGAUGAAGGUCUUCGGAUCGUAAAACUCUGUUAUUAGGGAAGAACAUAUGUGUAAGUAACUGUGCACAUCUUGACGGUACCUAAUCAGAAAGCCACGGCUAACUACGUG